rnacentral:rRNA from 1 species
AGAGUUUGAUCCUGGCUCAGGAUGAACGCUAGCGGCAGGCUUAAUACAUGCAAGACGAACGGUAAGUAGUGUAGCAAUACAUUGCCUAGAGUGUCGUACGGGUGCGUAACACGUAUGCAACCUACCUUUUACAGGAGUAUAGCUCGGUGAAAACCGAAUUAACCCUCCAUAACACAGCGCUGAGGCAUCUCAAAGCUGUUAAAACUGCGGUGGUAAAAGAUGGGCAUGCGUUUGAUUAGUUAGUUGGCAGUGUAAUGGACUACCAAGACGAUGAUCAAUAGGGGACCUGAGAGGGUGAUCCCCCACACUGGCACUGAGAUACGGGCCAGACUCCUACGGGAGGCAGCAGUAGGGAAUAUUGGACAAUGGGUGAGAGCCUGAUCCAGCCAUGCCGCGUGCAGGAAGAAGGCGUUAUGCGUUGUAAACUGCUUUUGCCAGGGGAUAAAACGACUCUGCGGAGUUAAUUGAAGGUACCUGGUGAAUAAGCCACGGCUAACUACGUGCCAGCAGCCGCGGUAAUACGUAGGUGGCAAGCGUUGUCCGGAUUUAUUGGGUUUAAAGGGUGCGUAGGCGGCCCUGUAAGUCAGUGCUGAAAUAUCCCGGCUUAACCGGGAGGGUGGCAUUGAUACUGCAGGGCUUGAGUACAGAUGAAGUAGGCGGAAUUGACGGUGUAGCGGUGAAAUGCAUAGAUAUCGUCAAGAACACCGAUAGCGAAGGCAGCUUACUAAGCUGUAACUGACGCUGAGGCACGAAAGUGUGGGGAUCAAACAGGAUUAGAUACCCUGGUAGUCG